rnacentral:sRNA from 1 species
UACUAGCCCCGAUUGCAGUGUAAAUUAUCUUUGUCAAAGUUUUGAACUUUGACAAAGAUAAUUGCAACGGAAAGCGGGAACAUGG